rnacentral:misc_RNA from 1 species
AAAGUCGUAACAAGGUCUCCGUAGGUGAACCUGCGGAGGGAUCAUCAAAGAAUUUUCCAUAAAGUGCUACUUUCUUUCGAAAGAGAGGAGGUGGUGCUUUCAAACAAACGAUCACAACUAUUGAAAAAAGAGAGAGAGAAUGGAUUGGAUUGGAUUGGGUUUUUUGAGGGGACAGAGAAAAAGUGUUUGCCUGAUAAUUUUGAUUGGAAAAAGAAAAAUACACAACUUUCAACAACGGAUCUCUUGGCUCUC